rnacentral:rRNA from 1 species
UAUGCUUGUCUCAAAGAUUAAGCCAUGCAUGUCUCAGUACAAGCCAAAUUAAGGUGAAACCGCGAAAGGCUCAUUAAAUCAGUUAUGGUUCCUUAGAUCGUACCCACAAUUACUUGGAUAACUGUGGUAAUUCUAGAGCUAAUACAUGCAAACAGAGCUCCGACCGGAGACGGAAGGAGUGCUUUUAUUAGAUCAAAACCAAUCGGUGGCGGGUUCGCUCGUUAUCGUACAACUUGGUGACUCUGAAUAACUUUACGCUGAUCGCACGGUCAUCGCACCGGCGACGCAUCUUUCAAAUGUCUGCCUUAUCAACUGUCGAUGGUAGGUUCUGCGCCUACCAUGGUUGUAACGGGUAACGGGGAAUCAGGGUUYGRUUCCGGAGAGGGAGCCUGAGAAACGGCUACCACAUCCAAGGAAGGCAGCAGGCGCGCAAAUUACCCACUCCCGGCACGGGGAGGUAGUGACGAAAAAUAACGAUACGGGACUCAUCCGAGGCCCCGUAAUCGGAAUGAGUACACUCUAAACCCUUUAACGAGGAUCAAUUGGAGGGCAAGUCUGGUGCCAGCAGCCGCGG